rnacentral:rRNA from 1 species
UAGGGAAUCUUCGGCAAUGGACGGAAGUCUGACCGAGCAACGCCGCGUGAGUGAAGAAGGUUUUCGGAUCGUAAAGCUCUGUUGUUAGAGAAGAACGUUGGUAGGAGUGGAAAAUCUACCAAGUGACGGUAACUAACCAGAAAGGGACGGCUAACUACGUGCCAGCAGCCGCGGUAAUACGUAGGUCCCGAGCGUUGUCUGGAUUUAUUGGGCGUAAAGCGAGCGCAGGCGGUUCUUUAAGUCUGAAGUUAAAGGCAGUGGCUUAACCAUUGUACGCUUUGGAAACUGGAGGACUUGAGUGCAGAAGGGGGGAGUGGAAUUCCAUGUGUAGAGGUGAAAUGCGUAGAUAUAUGGAGGAACACCGGUGGCGAAAGCGGCUCUCUGGUCUGUAACUGACGCUGAGGCUCGAAAGCGUGGGGAGCAAACAGG